UCCGCGCGACUGGCGAAACGGGCCCCCCCGGCCCCGAGUGGACACAACCACAGUGGAGCCGGAUCCUGAUCUGCCGAACGCCUGGGCAGACC
rnacentral:ncRNA from 1 species